rnacentral:rRNA from 1 species
UACGUAGGGGGCGAGCGUUGUCCGGAUUUAUUGGGCGUAAAGAGCGUGUAGGCGGCCAUACAGGUCCGUUGUGAAAACUGGAGGCUUAACCUCCAGACGUCGAUGGAAACCGUGUGGCUAGAGUCCGGAAGAGGAGAGUGGAAUUCCUGGUGUAGCGUUGAAAUGCGCAGAUAUCAGGAAGAACACCCGUGGCGAAGGCGGCUCUCUGGGACGGUACUGACGCUGAGACGCGAAAGCGUGGGGAGCGAACAGG